UUCCAUGAAUUCGUAACUAUAAAGAAACAACUGUAAGACAAAACGUAGUUAAAAGGCCAGCUUAAAAUUAUGGUUGUAUAAAUAAUCUAUAAACCACUCUUUAGUGAGUAAUUUAGGACCAUAUAUCAUGUAGCAGUCUGGUUGAGGCCAGACAGUUCUUUUUCCUUAGCCUUUAUUCAUGUUUGUAACUUUUUCUUCUUAUGCAUAGUCCCAAACGCCAGCCAUCCUACCCUCCAAAGUGUCUUGCACCCCAAAGUCCAUAAUCUUCCAAUUACAAGUAAUCAUAGCUUUUCCCUAAAUUUACUGCAGUCAUCAGUGUCAAGUGACAAUGCCAAAUACUGUAUAUGAAUGCUCGUCGUGAGACGUCGUAUAUGCCGCAGAGUUGUAGAAGCAUGCAUGUCCGAGUGACAUCAUAGGGAAUAAUGUGGGGAGGUGAAACGCUGAGGCCCAGGGAGCUUUGUCGCACAUCUCCACAGAGAUUAACGUUUUUUAUACUGCUGUUCUAACGCCUGAGAUACUGCUAAAUGCAGUAAUAUUUGUUCUACAGGACUAUACUAAUUAUGCUGUUUCAGCCUCGUUUUAUUGUUCGGUAACACUACAUUACAACUUAUAUAAUUCAAUCUUAUCAGUAAAAUAAACCAUCUGUCACAUUUCUCAAGUUAUCAGUACCGUGUAUAGGGUUCGUGAUAAUGCUCCACUCUUACACAACCUACCUCUCAUCCAGCCCCCACCUCCUCUAUUCCCCUCCCCCAACCCCACACACACUACAGUGGGCGACAUCUGUUGGCCGACCAUAGCAUUUCCCCCAGCUGUUUCCCAACUUCAAACUCAGGUUAUUCGAACUCUCACUGUGGCUGGGUAGUGGACACGACUUUUGUGCACGAUAGUACAAUGUAUAUGUGUAUGAUCAUGUGAACCAGAUCCCCCCAAAAAUUAUGAUGACAUUUUUCAAACCAAAACUGUUCUUUCAUUACCUUGCUCUUGGAUUAAAAUAUUUUCUUCCUUUCCUGGAGUAAGAUGUGGCAAACCUUCAAAUUCCACAUCAUCCAUAACACCAAGAAUUAUUUCUUCAGUUUUGGUGAUGGGUGGACAGUCAGCUGGACCUCCACCUGUUAGGUACAGUAGAUUAUAAUUUGCCCGCGACUCGUCAAUCAUCGUUUUUUAGCGUCCAUCCUGGGCUGGGUGUGGAGCAGUGGCCAACACCAUUACUACUGCCACCUCAUCACCUCACAUUGAUUUCCAUGACUAAUAAACGUAUUACAGGGUGGACAAGUUGUUUUCUAUCCAACAAUCCAUUCUUAUUUUUUUAUCAUUUAAUUGUGUUUUAUAUCCUCGAGAGAGGUUGGGGAGAGGUUGAAGUGAUCAAGUCACCAUUCAUUAUUAUUUUUUCAAUUAAUAUUUUUUUCAAGAACGGUAGUGACGAGAGGUGGAAAUAAUCAAGUAUAACAGCCUCGUUUAGUGUGACCGGUGGUGAGCAAGCCACGCCCCCUCCUCUCUUGUGUUGUCAUAUCAGGGGCUUUCUCUAAAUAGGGAAGCCAGACGCCUUAUGAGCCGUAACGACUGCCAAAAGCUCACUCGCAUUCCUCCGCCGAGUCUUAAGUAAAGGCAUA